rnacentral:tRNA from 1 species
GAGGGUGUAGCUCAGUGGUAGAGCGCGGGCUUAGCGUGCAUCCUGGGUUCUAUCCCCAGCACCUCCA